rnacentral:rRNA from 1 species
UACAGAGGGUGCGAGCGUUAAUCGGAAUUACUGGGCGUAAAGGGUGCGUAGGUGGUUGAAUAAGUUAGGUGUGAAAUUCCUGGGCUCAACCUGGGAACUGCGCUUGAUACGGCAGAGCUAGAGGAUGGAAGAGGCUCGCGGAAUUCCCAGUGUAGAGGUGAAAUUCGUAGAUAUUGGGAAGAACACCGGUGGCGAAGGCGGCAUCCUGGACCGGUAUUGACACUGAGGCGCGAAAGCCAGGGGAGCAAACGGG